rnacentral:lncRNA from 1 species
CAUUACAAGCCGUCACAGAGCGCACCCAGGCCACUGAAAAAUAUGUGCUCGCUCUGCAACUAGGCCUCAAGGCAAUAGGCGACAGGGUACAACAGCUACAAACGGCCCAAAACUACAUCAACAGACAAGUGAACAUCCUAGACGACAGGGGCCGGAGAAAAAAACAUAAAGAUAAGAGGGGUUCCGGAAACCACCCCCCUGGAAGAACUGCCGCACUUCGUGAGACGGCUGGUGGCAUCCCUUCUACUGGCGAAACAAGCUAAGUACUUCACAUUUGACGGGGUAUAUAGAAUAGCCAAAUCCCCUAGAGCCCACAGCACCAUGAGACCAUCCUUAGAUGCCAAACAGUAGCCGAUAAGCUAGGUCUAACAGCAGUAUUAAGGGGGAAAUCCCCACAUAACUUUGAAGACUGUCAUAUAUCCUUUUUUCAGGACUUAAGCAGGGCCACCUUGCUAUGGCGCAACCUCUCACAAGGACACUGCAAGCGGAGAAUCUGACUUACCGAUGGGCAACCCCAAACACCCUGUGGGUCACAAAGGAAGGAAAGUCAUAUAAUAAAGCCACAGCACAGUCGGAUGCACCUGCACUGCUGGCAGCGCUGGGCCUACACACAAGAAGCACCCCAGUACAAGGACUGUCCCGCUCUCCAGCCCGGUCUUUCACCGACACACCCUCACUUGAACCCAGAAGAAAAAUGGGACUCAAACACUAAUAUCCAUGUAGCUCCAAUAGCACCGUACAUUACUUUUCUUUUUACAAAUGUUCUUGAGUUUUAAAUGCUCCUCUUGUUCGCCUUUUACUUGUUAAUGCCUUGCAAAGUAAGUUACCUGCUGGCACACUCCACCCAAACACCUGCACAGAGAGGCAUCAGAGCCUCAACUGCCCUAGAAACUUGUCAGGCAUACAACGCACUCCAUAGGGGGACAGCCACCACUACUCCCCUCCCCCCCAACACCCCAGGGUACAGGGGUAGAAACCACAGGGGCACGGAAGGGAUAGCACCCGAACAUAGACCCUUGGAUCACUCGACAUACCUCUCACGGCAACCGACAAGCUCCACACUAUUAUAGCCCUCGCCACUUGACCUACCAAAAGCUCCUUAGACGAGCGACUGCCACAGACGACACAUAGGACACCAUAAAGGAGCAACACCUACAUGACUAAUCCCAACUGAGUACAGCGCGACCAUCCACCGGCAUACAUGAUCUCGAGCUCCCAAACUAAGCUCUAACACGACCCAUUGUGUCCCCACAAUUGUUCCCACAACCUGUAUCCACAGGCCACAGACCAUACUGCCUCACCGCACACGAGACAGAACAUGUGGGACAUACCUCACGGAAACCACGGACAAACAGGGCCAGACCGCUAUACAUAAAGUGGAGGUCUCAAUCACAUAAACAGUUCACCCCACACAGAACAAUUUACCAAAAAAAAAGUGCAAACUUAUCGACUGCCAUCCCUGAUGUCUAAAUGUUAAUUGUAAAAUUGCCGAAUCCCGAUUACGUGGAAGUGGCAUGUAAAAAAGUUUUGUACCAUGCAACAUGCACCAAAAAAAAAAGAAUUAAAUAAAAAAGAGAAGUAAGAGAUUU